rnacentral:tRNA from 1 species
GCCUCCGUCGUCUAGCCUGGAUAGGACGCGAGCUUGCGGAGCUUGAAACCGGGGUUCAAAUCCUCGCGGGGGCA